rnacentral:rRNA from 1 species
GACGAACGCUGGCGGCGUGCUUAACACAUGCAAGUCGAACGGAAAGGCCCUGCUUUUGUGUGGUUCUCGAGUGGCGAACGGGUGAGUAACACGUGAGUAACCUGCCCUGGACUUUGGGAUAACUUCAGGAAACUGCGGCUAAUACCGGAUAGGAGCUCCUGCUGCAUGGGGGGGGUUGGAAAGUUUCGGCUGUUGGGGAUGGACUGGCGGCUUAUCAGCUUGUUGGGUGGGUAGUGGCUUACCAAGGCUUUGACGGGUAGCCGGCAUGAGAGGGUGACCGGGCACAUUGGGACUAAGAGACGGAGCAGAGUCCUACGGGAGGCAGCAGUGGGGAGUAUUGCACAGUGGGCGGAAGCCUGAGGAAGCAACGCCGCGUGCGGGAUGACGGCCUUCGGGUUAUAAACCGCAGUCGCCUGUGACGAAGCGUGAGUGACGGUAAUGGGUAAAGAAGCACCGGCUAACUACGUG